rnacentral:rRNA from 1 species
AUUGAACGCUGGCGGCAGGCCUAAUACAUGCAAGUCGAACGAGUGGCGGACGGGUGAGUAAUGUCUGGGAAACUGCCCGAUGGCGGGGGAUAACUACUGGAAACCGUAGCUAAUACCGCAUACCAUCGGAUGUGCCCUGAUGGGAUUAGCUAGUAGGUGGGGUAAUGGCGCACCUAGGCGACGAUCACUAGCUGGUCUGCGAGGAUGACCAGCAACACGGGAACUGAGACACGGUCCAGACUCCUACGGGAGGAAGCAGUGGGGAAUAUUGCACAAUGGGCGCAAGCCUGAUGCAGCCAUGCCGCGUGGAUGAAGAAGGCCUUCGGGUUGUAAAGUACUUUCAGCGAGGAGGCGUUACUCGAAGAAGAAGCACCGGCUAACUCCGUGCCAGCAGCCGCGGUAAUAC